UACGUAGGGGGCUAGCGUUAAUCGGAAUUACUGGGCGUAAAGCGUGCGCAGGCGGUGAUGUAAGACCGAUGUGAAAUCCCCGGGCUUAACCUGGGGACUGCAUUGGUGACUGCAUUGCUGGAGUAUGGCAGAGGGGGGUGGAAUUCCACGUGUAGCAGUGAAAUGCGUAGAGAUGUGGAGGAACACCGAUGGCGAAGGCAGCCCCCUGGGCCAAUACUGACGCUCAUGCACGAAAGCGUGGGGAGCAAACAGG
rnacentral:rRNA from 1 species